AGUGAACGCUGGCGGUAGGCCUAACACAUGCAAGUCGAACGGCAGCACAGUAAGAGCUUGCUCUUACGGGUGGCGAGUGGCGGACGGGUGAGGAAUACAUCGGAAUCUACUUUUUCGUGGGGGAUAACGUAGGGAAACUUACGCUAAUACCGCAUACGACCUACGGGUGGAAGCAGGGGAUCUUCGGACCUUGCGCGAUUGAAUGAGCCGAUUUCGGAUUAGCUAGUUGGCGGGGUAAAGGCCCACCAAGGCGACGAUCCGUAGCUGGUCUGAGAGGAUGAUCAGCCACACUGGAACUGAGACACGGUCCAGACUCCUACGGGAGGCAGCAGUGGGGAAUAUUGGACAAUGGGCGCAAGCCUGAUCCAGCCAUACCGCGUGGGUGAAGAAGGCCUUCGGGUUGUAAAGCCCUUUUGUUGGGAAAGAAAAGCAGCAGGUUAAUACCCCGCUGUUCUGACGGUACCCAAAGAAUAAGCACCGGCUAACUUCGUG
rnacentral:rRNA from 1 species